GUUGCCAUGAUUUGAUUCGAUUACGAUUAUCCUAUCAACGAUCCAAAUCGAUUCAAUAUCAUGAUGCGUCCGAUAUAUAUAUAUGAACUCCCCUUUUUAUUGCAUCUGCUCUUAUAAAAAGACCCUUCCUUACUAUAGUGGAGUCUGAAAACCACAGACAAAAGG